ACUGGGCACAGUGGCAGGUGCUUGUAGUCCCAGAUAGUAGGGAGACUGAGGUGGAAGGAUCGCUUGAGCCCAGGAGUUCUGGGCUAUAGUGCGCUACACUAAUUGCGUGUCCGCACUAAGUUCAGCAUCAAUAUGGUGACCUCUGGGAGUGGGGGAACACCAGGUUGCCUAACGAGGGGUGAACAGGCCCAGUUUGGAAGUGGAGCAGAUCAAAACUCCCGUGCUGAUUGGUAGUGGGAUCACACCUGUGAAUAGGCACUGCACUCCAGCCUGGGCAACAUAGCGAGACCCCAUUUCUU
ensembl:misc_RNA Metazoa_SRP Metazoan signal recognition particle RNA